rnacentral:ncRNA from 2 species
UUACGCUCCACCUGCCGUGGUGCUCGGGAAGCCGGUGUGAGACCGGCGCGGCCCUCGCCACUGUGAGCGGGUAGGUGCUCGCCCUCGUCCGGACCGGUCCGCCGGUCCGGAGACCACUGGACGGAAGUCCGGGAAGGUCGGCGCGGCAGCGAUGAUCCGUCAGCCAGGAGACCGGCCACGGCGCGGGAAGUCCA